rnacentral:rRNA from 1 species
AUUGAACGCUGGCGGCAUGCCUUACACAUGCAAGUCGAACGGCAGCACGGGAGCAAUCCUGGUGGCGAGUGGCGAACGGGUGAGUAACAUAUCGGAACGUGCCCAGUAGUGGGGGAUAACCGGCGAAAGCCGGACUAAUACCGCAUACGACCUACGGGUGAAAGCAGGGGAGUCGCAAGACCUUGCGCUAUCGGAGCGGCCGAUAUCAGAUUAGCUUGUUGGUGGGGUAAAGACCUACCAGGGCGACGAUCUGUAGCUGGUCUGAGAGGACGACCAGCCACACUGGGACUGAGACACGGCCCAGACUCCUACGGGAGGCAGCAGUGGGGAAGUUUUGGACAAUGGGCGCAAGCCUGAUCCAGCCAUGCCGCGUGCGGGAAGAAGGCCUCGGUUGUAAGACGACUUAAGUACGAGGAGGAAGGG